rnacentral:rRNA from 1 species
UGCAAGUCGAACGGUAACAGGUCUUCGGAUGCUGACGAGUGGCGGACGGGUGAGUAACGCGUAGGAAUCUGCCCAUCUGUGGGGGAUACCAGUUGGAAACGACUGUUAAUACCGCAUAAUAUCUGCGGAUUAAAGGUGGCCUUUGCGCUGCCGCAGAUGGAUGAGCCUGCGUUGGAUUAGCUAGUUGGUGGGGUAAGGGCCUACCAAGGCUACGAUCCAUAGCUGAUUUGAGAGGAUGAUCAGCCACAUUGGGACUGAGACACGGCCCAAACUCCUACGGGAGGCAGCAGUGGGGAAUAUUGGACAAUGGGGGAAACCCUGAUCCAGCAAUGCCAUGUGUGUGAAGAAGGCUCUAGGGUUGUAAAGCACUUUAGUUGGGGAGGAAAGCCUGUGAGUUAAUAGCUUGCAGGAAGGACGUUGCCCAAAGAAUAAGGACCGGCUAACUCCGUGCCAGCAGCCGCGGUAAUACGGGGGGUCCGAGCGUUAAUCGGAAUUACUGGGCGUAAAGGGUCUGUAGGUGGUUUGUUAAGUCAGAUGUGAAAGCCCAGGGCUCAACCUUGGAACUGCAUUUGAUACUGACAAACUAGAGUAUGGUAGAGGAAUAGGGAACUUCUGGUGUAGCGGUGAAAUGCGUAGAGAUCAGAAGGAACACCAAUGGCGAAGGCAACAUUCUGGACCAAUACUGACACUGAGGGACGAAAGCGUGGGGAUCAAACAGGAUUAGAUACCCUGGUAGUCCACGCUGUAAACGAUGAGUACUAGCUGUUGGAUUCGGUGUAAAGGAUCUAGUGGCGCAGCUAACGCGUUAAGUACUCCGCCUGGGGACUACGGCCGCAAGGCUAAAACUCAAAGGAAUUGACGGGGACCCGCACAAGCGGUGGAGCAUGUGGUUUAAUUCGAUGCAACGCGAAGAACCUUACCUGGUCUUGACAUCCUGCGAACUUUCUAGAGAUAGAUUGGUGCCUUCGGGAACGCAGUGACAGGUGCUGCACGGCUGUCGUCAGCUCGUGUUGUGAAAUGUUGGGUUAAGUCCCGCAACGAGCGCAACCCCUAUUGAUAGUUACCAUCAUUAAGUUGGGUACUCUAUUGAGACUGCCGCUGACAAGGCGGAGGAAGGUGGGGACGACGUCAAGUCAUCAUGGCCCUUACGACCAGGGCUACACACGUGCUACAAUGGGUAUUACAGAGGGCUGCGAAGGUGCGAGCUGGAGCGAAACUCAGAAAGGUACUCUUAGUCCGGAUUGCAGUCUGCAACUCGACUGCAUGAAGUCGGAAUCGCUAGUAAUCGCAGGUCAGAAUACUGCGGUGAAUACGUUCCCGGGUCUUGUACACACCGCCCGUCACACCAUGGGAGUGGGUUGCUCCAGAAGUAGAUAGCUUAACGAAUGGGCGUUUACCACGGAGUGAUUCAU